rnacentral:sRNA from 1 species
CAGGAACCAUCGAGGGACCCGAGCUGGC